GCUGGAUAGCUCAGUUGGUAGAGCAUGAGAAUCUUAACCUCAUGGUUGUGGGUUUGAGCCCCACACUGACCA